rnacentral:lncRNA from 1 species
GGCCGAAGUCGGGUAGAGACCCCGGAGAUGGCGAGCGAACCCUGGGAGGGAGAGGCCGGGUUCCUCGGGACCUCCCAUGCGGCCCUUGGGACUUCUAGAAGCGGUUUUAGCUGCAGAUGGAAUUGGCUGACCAGCUGACCGAAGAACAGAUUGCAGAGUUCAAGGAAGCCUUCUCCCUCUUUGACAAGGAUGGAGAUGGCACCAUUACCACCAAGGAGCUGGGGACUGUGAUGAGAUCGCUGGGGCAAAACCCCACUGAGGCGGAACUGCAGGACAUGAUCAAUGAGGUGGAUGCUGAUGGCAAUGGGACCAUUGACUUCCCAGAGUUCCUGACCAUGAUGGCCAGAAAGAUGAAGGAUACAGACAGCGAGGAGGAGAUACGAGAGGCCUUCCGUGUCUUUGACAAGGAUGGGAAUGGCUACAUCAGUGCUGCUGAGCUGCGUCACGUCAUGACGAACCUGGGGGAGAAGCUGA